UUAUGUGAAGGAUAGCAGUGAAAAUCCUUUUGUUGCAAAGUCCAGCGCAGCCGAGACGUAACAAAAGAUUGUAACGGAAAGCCUAGCCUUUC
rnacentral:sRNA from 2 species